UGAAUCCUAGGGGCGCCGCAGUGAGGAAUAUUGGUCAAUGGGCGGGAGCCUGAACCAGCCAAGUCGCGUGAGGGAAGACGGUCCUAUGGAUUGUAAACCUCUUUAGGCGGGGAGCAAUGCCGGGCACGCGUGCCCGGAGGGAGAGUACCCGCAGAAUAAGCAUCGGCUAACUCCGUGCCAGCAGCCGCGGUAAUACGGAGGAUGCGAGCGUUAUCCGGAUUUAUUGGGUUUAAAGGGUGCGUAGGCGGAUUUUUAAGUCAGCGGUAAAAUGUCCGGGCUCAACCCGGGCCGGCCGUUGAAACUGG
rnacentral:rRNA from 1 species